rnacentral:rRNA from 1 species
UGCAGUCGAACGCGAACGCACCUUCGGGUGUUAUUAGAGUGGCGGACGGGUGAGUAACACGUGGGAACAUGCCUUUCGGUACGGAACAACGCUUGGAAACGAGUGCUAAUACCGUAUACGCCCUUCGGGGGAAAGAUUUAUCGCCGAAAGAUUGGCCCGCGCUAGAUUAGCUAGUUGGUAAGGUAAUGGCUUACCAAGGCGACGAUCUAUAGCUGGUUUGAGAGGAUGAUCAGCCACACUGGGACUGAGACACGGCCCAGACUCCUACGGGAGGCAGCAGUGGGGAAUAUUGGACAAUGGGGGCAACCCUGAUCCAGCGAUGCCGCGUGAGUGAUGAAGGCCUUAGGGUUGUAAAACUCUUUCAGAUGGGAUGAUAAUGACAGUACCAUCAGAAGAAGCUCCGGCUAACUCCGUGCCAGCAGCCGCGGUAAUACGGAGGGAGCUAGCGUUGUUCGGAAUUACUGGGCGUAAAGCGCGCGUAGGCGGCUUUGCAAGUAGGGGGUGAAAUCCCGGGGCUUAACCCCGGAACUGCCCUCUAAACUGCAGAGCUAGAAUCCUGGAGAGGUGAGUGGAAUUCCUAGUGUAGGGGUGAAAUUCGUAGAUAUUAGGAAGAACACCAGUGGCGAAGG